UAUACACUGGAUUGCCAGGAGUAGUAGCACCUGUCUGUAAUCUCAGCACUGCGGAGGCUGAGGCAGGAGGAU
ensembl:miRNA